CUUAACUGGGCGUUAAGUUGCAGGGUAUAGACCCGAAACCCGGUGAUCUAGCCAUGGGCAGGUUGAAGGUUGGGUAACACUAACUGGAGGACCGAACCGACUAAUGUUGAAAAAUUAGCGGAUGACUUGUGGCUGGGGGUGAAAGGCCAAUCAAACCGGGAGAUAGCUGGUUCUCCCCGAAAGCUAUUUAGGUAGCGCCUCGUGAAUUCAUCUCCGGGGGUAGAGCACUGUUUCGGCAAGGGGGUCAUCCCGACUUACCAACCCGAUGCAAACUGCGAAUACCGGAGAAUGUUAUCACGGGAGACACACGGCGGGUGCUAACGUCCGUCGUGAAGAGGGAAACAACCCAGACCGCCAGCUAAGGUCCCAAAGUCAUGGUUAAGUGGGAAACGAUGUGGGAAGGCCCAGACAGCCAGGAUGUUGGCUUAGAAGCAGCCAUCAUUUAAAGAAAGCGUAAUAGCUCACUGGUCGAGUCGGCCUGCGCGGAAGAUGUAACGGGGCUAAACCAUGCACCGAAGCUGCGGCAGCGACACUGUGUGUUGUUGGGUAGGGGAGCGUUCUGUAAGCCUGUGAAGGUGUGCUGUGAGGCAUGCUGGAGGUAUCAGAAGUGCGAAUGCUGACAUAAGUAACGAUAAAGCGGGUGAAAAGCCCGCUCGCCGGAAGACCAAGGGUUCCUGUCCAACGUUAAUCGGGGCAGGGUGAGUCGACCCCUAAGGCGAGGCCGAAAGGCGUAGUCGAUGGGAAACAGGUUAAUAUUCCUGUACUUGGUGUUACUGCGAAGGGGGGACGGAGAAGGCUAUGUUGGCCGGGCGACGGUUGUCCCGGUUUAAGCGUGUAGGCUGGUUUUCCAGGCAAAUCCGGAAAAUCAAGGCUGAGGCGUGAUGACGAGGCACUACGGUGCUGAAGCAACAAAUGCCCUGCUUCCAGGAAAAGCCUCUAAGCAUCAGGUAACAUCAAAUCGUACCCCAAACCGACACAGGUGGUCAGGUAGAGAAUACCAAGGCGCUUGAGAGAACUCGGGUGAAGGAACUAGGCAAAAUGGUGCCGUAACUUCGGGAGAAGGCACGCUGAUAUGUAGGUGAAGUCCCUCGCGGAUGGAGCUGAAAUCAGUCGAAGAUACCAGCUGGCUGCAACUGUUUAUUAAAAACACAGCACUGUGCAAACACGAAAGUGGACGUAUACGGUGUGACGCCUGCCCGGUGCCGGAAGGUUAAUUGAUGGGGUCAGCGCAAGCGAAGCUCUUGAUCGAAGCCCCGGUAAACGGCGGCCGUAACUAUAACGGUCCUAAGGUAGCGAAAUUCCUUGUCGGGUAAGUUCCGACCUGCACGAAUGGCGUAAUGAUGGCCAGGCUGUCUCCACCCGAGACUCAGUGAAAUUGAACUCGCUGUGAAGAUGCAGUGUACCCGCGGCAAGACGGAAAGACCCCGUGAACCUUUACUAUAGCUUGACACUGAACAUUGAGCCUUGAUGUGUAGGAUAGGUGGGAGGCUUUGAAGUGUGGACGCCAGUCUGCAUGGAGCCGACCUUGAAAUACCACCCUUUAAUGUUUGAUGUUCUAACGUGGACCCGUGAUCCGGGUUGCGGACAGUGUCUGGUGGGUAGUUUGACUGGGGCGGUCUCCUCCUAAAGAGUAACGGAGGAGCACGAAGGUUGGCUAAUCCUGGUCGGACAUCAGGAGGUUAGUGCAAUGGCAUAAGCCAGCUUGACUGCGAGCGUGACGGCGCGAGCAGGUGCGAAAGCAGGUCAUAGUGAUCCGGUGGUUCUGAAUGGAAGGGCCAUCGCUCAACGGAUAAAAGGUACUCCGGGGAUAACAGGCUGAUACCGCCCAAGAGUUCAUAUCGACGGCGGUGUUUGGCACCUCGAUGUCGGCUCAUCACAUCCUGGGGCUGAAGUAGGUCCCAAGGGUAUGGCUGUUCGCCAUUUAAAGUGGUACGCGAGCUGGGUUUAGAACGUCGUGAGACAGUUCGGUCCCUAUCUGCCGUGGGCGCUGGAGAACUGAGGGGGGCUGCUCCUAGUACGAGAGGACCGGAGUGGACGCAUCACUGGUGUUCGGGUUGUCAUGCCAAUGGCACUGCCCGGUAGCUAAAUGCGGAAGAGAUAAGUGCUGAAAGCAUCUAAGCACGAAACUUGCCCCGAGAUGAGUUCUCCCUGACCCUUUAAGGGUCCUGAAGGAACGUUGAAGACGACGACGUUGAUAGGCCGGGUGUGUAAGCGCAGCGAUGCGUUGAGCUAACCGGUACUAAUGAACCGUGAGGCUUAACCUUACAACGCCGAAGGUGUUU
rnacentral:rRNA from 1 species